rnacentral:lncRNA from 1 species
GGUUAUUGCGAAGUGCCGUGGCUGCCGGCGGGCGCUGCGGGACUCUCUGCAAUGGGACCCGAGCAGCUCUAGAGGGAGGCGGCGGCCCCAGAAGGCCGUUGGCUGAGAGAGACCAGGAGCCCUCGGAGCCGCCGCGCGCAUAGCGCUGUGGAGCAAGAAGCCAACCGCAGCGCGGGUCGACACGCCAGUAUCUGGCACCGGCAGGAGGCGCGGAACUUAGCUGCCCCAUCGGAACCCCGCCCGGAGGAAGCUGAGGGCCGAGAAAGGAUGAAUUCCGGACCGGGUCGCCCAGCCACAAGUGGAAACCUGGGCUCUCUGGAAAACGUUCUGAUCUCGAUCUGGCUAUCUCUGAAACAAAACUCCAGCCCCGCAAACCUCCCAAAGUUCAGUACACGUCCCCGUCCUCACCCCUGCCCUCCGGGCCACCUGCAGCGGGGGACUUACCGGCGCCUCGGGUCUCCUCCUCCCGACCCAGCGCGUCGCGGACACAGCUGGCGGCCAACAGGAGGCUUGGGCGCUCGACGGCGCCGGAACCUGUGAGACCGUCGCUCUGGGCGGGCUGCCGUGCGGGGUGGCAUCCUCUGCGGUGACUUCUGCUGUCUUUUGGGUCCGCCAGGAUUCCAAAAUCCCAGGCGGGUCGCUAGAAUUAUCCAUCUUCGUGGACAGGAAGCCCCAGAACGAACCACAUCUGUCCCACUCUGCUUCCGCCCUCCUUCCCCUUCGCAAGCUCCUGGCUGGGAUGGAGACAUCGGACGAGCUCGGAGAUCCCGACCUCUCAGGGGUCACUCGCAGCCGAACAGCCUGGAAUAUGGCCUUGUGGGCCCUUCCCGCCCAACCCCCUAGGACCCCACUGCUCAUCUUGUCAACCAGUUUCUGAGCCCCUACCCUGGCUGCAGCACGUGCUCGCACAGGCGCGCUGAGCUACUAACAUAGAAUCAAAAGCAGGGAGUUGGGUGUUCUUGCUUUCCCGCUGAAACCUAGAAUGUAAACAAGCCCUAGACCGUCAGCUGUGGGUGGGUAGGGGCCUCUCCCUGCCUAGAACUGCUCUUGCCAUGGGUAGGCACCUAACCCGUAUUAGUAAGAAUGAAGGAAUGCAUGCUCAUAACAAGAAAGGGGUCAACCUGCUGCCCUGAUACUCACCUUCACCACUUACGUCUUGCUUCCAGCGCAAGCCCACUUCAGACCAUUGCCUCAUUCAGGUCCCAGAAGUCCUAAGGGUUUUAGUCUCUCAGUAUGGGCAAUUAUUCACAUGUAAGGGAGCUGCAAGGUGUUAUUUCAAUGCCAUCUGGCCUCUAUAAGGUCUUGCAUCAUAGCUGACCUCUCAUGAGAAGGUUCUGAUGAGGUCACCAGGGAGAAGGAAUGUAAAGGGCUGGUGGCUGAAAAGGAGUGAAAUGGCCCCUCUUAGGUGAGCUCUGGCCUGGUUUGAGUUUCAAUUCUGUCUCCUCAGCUCCAUUUCUCAAUGGGAAAAGGUCCAUAGGAAGGUUGUCAGAAGGGCAGGAGACUAGGGCAGGGAUAGCCCUUUGCAGACCCUGAAAAAUUGCUCAGUAAUGCAAACAUUGUCCAUAUUUAAGUUCUUUCUUUUCUUUUCUUUUUUUUUUGAGGCAGAGUCUCACUCUGUCGCCCAGGCUGGAGUGCUAUGGCUUGGCUCACUGCAAGCUCCGCCUCCUGGGUUCACGCCAUUCUCCUGCCUCAGCCUCCCAAGUAGCUGGGACUACAGGCGCCCGCCACUACGCCCGGCUAAUUUUUCGUAUUUUCAGUAGAGACGGGGUUUCACCGUGUUAAUCAGGAUGGUCUCGAUCUCCUGACCUUGUGAUCCGCCCGCCUCGGCCUCCCAAAGUGCUGGGAUUAGAGGCGUGAGCCACUGCGCCCAGCCUUAAGUUCUUUAUUUUCUAUCUUGUGGACCAAAGGACUGCUACAGGCAAGGAAGACCAUCUGACUCAAUUCCAGAGGUUCCUUAGCAUGCUGCUGACUGGCCUAGGAGAAUGGCCUUUGCCCAUAAAGUAUUAGAUGUAGACCACAUGAAUGGAAUAUUCACCAGGUUUCUGCCCAGGUCUGGAUUGGGCAAGGACAUGGCUGGAGGUGCCUUACAGGAGAGAAGGCCAAAGAGAGAGAAGACUUGACUCCCAACCUGAUUCCAGCAGAACUCCACUUUGAUGUGUUUUUAAAAUUGUGCUCUUCUGUUUGCUUUCACGGAGGCUGCCAUGAAACGUCAUCUUUGACUAGAAUUAUCAGGAAAUGCUCAUGGAAGAAAUAUACUUCCUUGGAUUUUUUUUCCUACCACACUUCAGGAUAUAACUAGAGAAAACAUUUGCCAACAGUGCUUAUCAUAUUAGUACCCUGUGAAGGUUUUCAUAGAUGCUGAUUAUUAUUUUUAAAAUCAUUUCGGGAAUAGGAGCCAAACACUAGGUCAUGACUGUACUUACUUUAGUAUUUACAUUAAGUGAUGAAAAAUGGAAAUAAAGGAAAUGUCCUGUCAUGAAACAAGUUAGAAUUAGGUGACUUUCAUGUCCUGAUUUCCAAGGUUUUCUGUUUGUUUCAGACAGACAAGAUCAUCCAUGGGUUCUUGGACAAGUAAUAGGUCUCAUUUUCCCUUGUAGACCAGAAGACAUGGAAAAGACAGCAUAUUCGGACUAUAUUCAUAUUUCCAUACCAUCUUUUGUUGUAAUUGAUUUUCAACAAGAGCCCCUAACAAUCUCUUGAGUUUGGGCCAUCCCCAUAUUCUACAAGGGAAAAUGAGAUCUCUUACUACUCCAAUAACCCAUGCUUACACUAUCUGUAUGGAACAAAC